rnacentral:rRNA from 1 species
GACGAACGCUGGCGGCGUGCUUAACACAUGCAAGUCGAACGGAAAGGCCCCAGCUUGCUGGGGUACUCGAGUGGCGAACGGGUGAGUAACACGUGGGUGAUCUGCCCUGCACUCUGGGAUAAGCCUGGGAAACUGGGUCUAAUACCGGAUAGGACCGUGCUUUAGUGUGUGCGGUGGAAAGUUUUUCGGUGCAGGAUGAGCCCGCGGUCUAUCAGCUUGUUGGUGGGGUAAUGGCCUACCAAGGCGGCGACGGGUAGCCGGCCUGAGAGGGUGUACGGCCACAUUGGGACUGAGACACGGCCCAGACUCCUACGGGAGGCAGCAGUGGGGAAUAUUGCACAAUGGGCGCAAGCCUGAUGCAGCGACGCCGCGUGGGGGAUGACGGCCUUCGGGUUGUAAACCCCUUUCGGCAGGGACGAAGCUUUUGUGACGGUACCUGCAUAAGAAGCACCGGCUAACUACGUG